rnacentral:rRNA from 1 species
GGUUAAGCGACUAAGCGUACACGGUGGAUGCCCUGGCAGUCAGAGGCGAUGAAGGACGUGCUAAUCUGCGAAAAGCGUCGGUAAGGUGAUAUGAACCGUUAUAACCGGCGAUGUCCGAAUGGGGAAACCCAGUGUGAUUCGUCACACUAUCGUUAACUGAAUACAUAGGUUAACGAGGCGAACCGGGGGAACUGAAACAUCUAAGUACCCCGAGGAAAAGAAAUCAACCGAGAUUCCCCCAGUAGCGGCGAGCGAACGGGGAGCAGCCCAGAGUCUGAAUCAGCUUGUGUGUUAGUGGAACGGUCUGGAAAGUCCGACGGUACAGGGUGAUAGUCCCGUACACCAAAAUGCACAGGCUGUGAACUCGAAGAGUAGGGCGGGACACGUGGUAUCCUGUCUGAAUAUGGGGGGACCAUCCUCCAAGGCUAAAUACUCCUGACUGACCGAUAGUGAACCAGUACCGUGAGGGAAAGGCGAAAAGAACCCCGGCGAGGGGAGUGAAAAAGAACCUGAAACCGUGUACGUACAAGCAGUGGGAGCACCUUCGGGUGUGACUGCGUACCUUUUGUAUAAUGGGUCAGCGACUUAUAUUCUGUAGCAAGGUUAACCGUAUAGGGGAGCCGCAGGGAAACCGAGUCUUAACUGGGCGUUAAGUUGCAGGGUAUAGACCCGAAACCCGGUGAUCUAGCCAUGGGCAGGUUGAAGGUUGGGUAACACUAACUGGAGGACCGAACCGACUAAUGUUGAAAAAUUAGCGGAUGACUUGUGGCUGGGGGUGAAAGGCCAAUCAAACCGGGAGAUAGCUGGUUCUCCCCGAAAGCUAUUUAGGUAGCGCCUCGUGAACUCAUCUUCGGGGGUAGAGCACUGUUUCGGCUAGGGGGUCAUCCCGACUUACCAACCCGAUGCAAACUACGAAUACCGAAGAAUGUUAUCACGGGAGACACACGGCGGGUGCUAACGUCCGUCGUGAAGAGGGAAACAACCCAGACCGCCAGCUAAGGUCCCAAAGUCAUGGUUAAGUGGGAAACGAUGUGGGAAGGCACAGACAGCCAGGAUGUUGGCUUAGAAGCAGCCAUCAUUUAAAGAAAGCGUAAUAGCUCACUGGUCGAGUCGGCCUGCGCGGAAGAUGUAACGGGGCUAAACCAUGCACCGAAGCUGCGGCAGCGACACUAUGUGUUGUUGGGUAGGGGAGCGUUCUGUAAGCCUGCGAAGGUGACCUGUGAGGGUUGCUGGAGGUAUCAGAAGUGCGAAUGCUGACAUAAGUAACGAUAAAGCGGGUGAAAAGCCCGCUCGCCGGAAGACCAAGGGUUCCUGUCCAACGUUAAUCGGGGCAGGGUGAGUCGACCCCUAAGGCGAGGCCGAAAGGCGUAGUCGAUGGGAAACAGGUUAAUAUUCCUGUACUUGGUGUUACUGCGAAGGGGGGACGGAGAAGGCUAUGUUAGCCGGGCGACGGUUGUCCCGGUUUAAGCAUGUAGGCUG